rnacentral:SRP_RNA from 1 species
GCCGGGCAUUGUGGCGGUUGCCUUUAGUCCCAGCUACUUGGGAGGCUGAGGCAGGAGGAUCACUUGAGCCCAGGGGUUUGAGGUUGCUGUGAGCUAUGAAGGCACAGCACUCUAGCCUGGGCAACAGAGUGAGACUCUGUCUCCA